rnacentral:lncRNA from 1 species
GUUCCGAGGCCUGCAGCCAUCUUGGAGAAGGGCGGGUGAAGCCGUAGCCGAGCGUUCUCGUCAAACAGGGCUGAGCUCUGGAUCUCACUACGCCGCGAACUCGGAUUUUAGAUGCCUAUGAAGUGAUUAGAGCCAGACUUGGUGGCACACACGUGUCAAAAUCACAGCAUUUGGGAGGCUGAGGCAGGAGGAUCGCUGCGAGUUGAGGCCAGCCUGGGCUACAUAGUAAGUUCAAGAAAAAAAAUGCAAAGAAGAAAGGGCUGGAGAGAAGAAGGAAAUCCAAGGGCUACUGAAUCUUUUGCUGGCACCAGCCCCUGCCCAUGCAGUCCUCAGCUGGUCAGGCCUUAAAUAUCAAGAUAUCAAGACGCACUGGUGAAGCCCACUUCCGAAGUCUCUAGGUCACAACCCUCUCUGAACCCUGGGCUUCUCUACCAAUGGUCUACCAGUCCCUGAAGGCACCUAAAAGCUGAGUUCCCAGGCUGCGGAUGUAGCUCAGAGGGAUCGAACUGGGGUCCUUGCGCUUGCAAGGCAAGCAGCAGAACCACAGAGCUAAAUCCCCCGGCCCUUGGCAUUUCUUGAAGACAUCUUGCUACAGAAGUUCCCACACCCAGGUCCCCCAACUGCAGGCCACCCACACCAGGCAGGAAGAGGACCCCACGAAUGUUUUUAAAUGACUUAUAGAAUCAGAGUGGUACCAUAGAGCUGAAGCCUGCUAUGGUGGCACAAGCCUGUAAUCCCAGUACUCCGGAGGCUGAGGCAGGAGCCCGGCUAUACAAGGAGUUCAAGGCCGGCCUAGACUACCCAGCAAGAUCCCAUCUCCUAGGUCACAGUCCCAGCCACACUGGAGGCACCCAAUAAAAGAUGGUUACCUUGUCUUAACUCUGUA